rnacentral:rRNA from 4 species
GGGUUGUGAGGUUAAGCGACUAAGCGUACACGGUGGAUGCCCUGGCAGUCAGAGGCGAUGAAGGACGUGCUAAUCUGCGAUAAGCGCCGGUAAGGUGAUAUGAACCGUUAUAACCGGCGAUUUCCGAAUGGGGAAACCCAGUGUGACUCGUCACACUAUCAUUAACUGAAUCCAUAGGUUAAUGAGGCGAACCGGGGGAACUGAAACAUCUAAGUACCCCGAGGAAAAGAAAUCAACCGAGAUUCCCCCAGUAGCGGCGAGCGAACGGGGAGGAGCCCAGAGCCUGAAUCAGCAUGUGUGUUAGUGGAAGCGUCUGGAAAGGCGCGCGAUACAGGGUGACAGCCCCGUACACAAAAGCGCAUGUGCUGUGAGCUCGAUGAGUAGGGCGGGACACGUGGUAUCCUGUCUGAAUAUGGGGGGACCAUCCUCCAAGGCUAAAUACUCCUGACUGACCGAUAGUGAACCAGUACCGUGAGGGAAAGGCGAAAAGAACCCCGGCGAGGGGAGUGAAAAAGAACCUGAAACCGUGUACGUACAAGCAGUGGGAGCACAGGUUUACCUGUGUGACUGCGUACCUUUUGUAUAAUGGGUCAGCGACUUAUAUUCUGUAGCAAGGUUAACCGAAUAGGGGAGCCGGAGGGAAACCGAGUCUUAAUUGGGCGUUAAGUUGCAGGGUAUAGACCCGAAACCCGGUGAUCUAGCCAUGGGCAGGUUGAAGGUUGGGUAACACUAACUGGAGGACCGAACCGACUAAUGUUGAAAAAUUAGCGGAUGACCUGUGGCUGGGGGUGAAAGGCCAAUCAAACCGGGAGAUAGCUGGUUCUCCCCGAAAGCUAUUUAGGUAGCGCCUCGUGAAUUCAUCUCCGGGGGUAGAGCACUGUUUCGGCUAGGGGGCCAUCCCGGCUUACCAACCCGAUGCAAACUGCGAAUACCGGAGAAUGUUAUCACGGGAGACACACGGCGGGUGCUAACGUCCGUCGUGAAGAGGGAAACAACCCAGACCGCCAGCUAAGGUCCCAAAGUCAUGGUUAAGUGGGAAACGAUGUGGGAAGGCCCAGACAGCCAGGAUGUUGGCUUAGAAGCAGCCAUCAUUUAAAGAAAGCGUAAUAGCUCACUGGUCGAGUCGGCCUGCGCGGAAGAUGUAACGGGGCUAAACCAUGCACCGAAGCUGCGGCAGCGA